GUGCUCACUUCGGCAGCACAUAGACUAAACUUGGAGAAAGAUUAGCAUGGCCCCUGCGCAAGGAUG
rnacentral:snRNA from 1 species